CGGAGGCUGGAGCACACCAUGACGGUAUCCCAACGUUUCAAAAAUACAGACAGAUUAAUAUCAUAUUCAUAUUAGUUAGCUCAUAACUGCGAAAGAGCAGAGAAUUGAAGAAGCCGCGGAGGAAGAUACAGAGGAGAGCCCACUGCAUUUCUAUGUUGCUAUCUCCGUCCCCACCCUUCCAAAUCGCAACCGCAAACUCCACUCUCGCUCUCUCACUACUAUUUACUUAAUGGUCCAGGAACUAGACUGUAUAGGAUGCAGAAGAUGCUGAUGGAAGAUAUUGGUUUGGAGCAAGCAUGCACUCAAUUAACUUGGUUAUUUUUGUCCUCCAAUCCAAUCAGACCCGAAACAUCAAUGAGGUUGAUUGAGGAUGCAAGAAUGUCUUCCACUCCAAUGGUCUUCAUUCUUUCUUUUCUUUAUUAUCAUUAUCAUUUUUGGCAGCAUGUUACUUUUAUAGUAUUUUGUAGUAAUGCACCCAAGUUUGAUCUCAACGAAGUUCAAUUGGAUGACUCAGCAAGUAACUCAAGUGAUAAUUUAGAGACCUGCCACUCCACAGCUAGAUCAUUACAUAUUUUUGGCAUAUACUUUGACAUUUCCCCAGGGUUCCACACAGAAGAAGCAAAACAGCAAGUCACUAAGUGAUGCUUCCAAACCCCUUCAGUGGGAUGAUACUGUAAAUUCUGUUGUGGUUAAUUCCAAAAGUGUUGGAGAGGUUACUAAUCCCAAAUUUAAUGGAAAGAAUGUAGGUGAAGCAGGCCUAUUUAGUAGUAAGUGUGUUUCCAGGACUAACGUAGACCCACAUAAAGAUCUUUGCUAUUGCACAAGUGACUUGGAGAACAAGGAUACUGGAUCCACUUGGAAGCCAUUUGUUGGUCAUUUUUCUAUUCUGAUUUUACAGAUACUAUAUUGGUAAACUGUGAGAAUACCAAAGAUAAUGAAAUUUCUUGUGCUUGUCAAAGUCAUGGAGAAGAAAAAUAUGUAGAUAGCAAUGCUUUUUGUGAAUCGUUCUGACAGCUUGAAGGAUAGACAAUUUGGGAGAAACAAAUCUCAAUGCUCCUGGCCAGAAUUUAGGCACUGAUGAGAUGGUAGUAGAACUUCCUGAAGCGUCUAUGUGCAUCCAAAACAGAAUGCAUUAAGGUUGACAAGGAGGAGAUUGUUAAGGUACAGUGUACUGAUUCUUAUGAACAAAUUGCUUUAGAGCUUGAAGAAUGCAAUGAUGAUGACUGCUCUUCCGCAUCAUCAAAGCCAUAUGAAGUGGACAGAGCAAAGACAAAUGGUUUUAGUCUUAGAUUAAAACCGGGAAGGAGAUUCAAGGAUUUCCAGAAGGAGAUACUUCCUGGCCUUGCAUCUCUUUCUAGACAUGAAAUUCAAGAAGAUAUAAACAUCUUGGAGGCAGUAUUAAGAUCAAGGGAAUACCGGAAGAUCAGAUCCAGAAUGGGUGAUCACAGAAGCCAGUGUGCGCCUACAAGAAGAGUUAGGUCCAAACGCAAUUCUUCAUGGCGGAAAUUGUUUUAGCAAGGUUCAUCCAAGUGCUUGUAUCAUUGAAACUUGAUUGUUUCUAUUCUUUUAUGGACAUGUUAAAGUGGAAUAUGUCAACGAUAAAAAUUGUUUCUGUAGAGUUUACUUCACGAAAACUUAGAAUGUUCAUAUUACUUAAAAACUGUUUCUCUAGAGGUUACUCGUAGUUGUUAAUUUGGUUUGAAUGAUGAUAGUUAAUUAAAAAUGUGGUAAUUCCAAGUUCCAA